rnacentral:piRNA from 1 species
UCCCUGACUGGCAUCAGACUCCUGGAUGGC